UAUUAAAAUUUUUAUCAAAUUGUACGAUUAAAAACUGAUAUGAUUAACGAAAUAAUCUUAUAAUAAAAUAUGAUAUGCUAUGUAUACAUCAUGUUGAUGUACAAGAAUCAGUUUUUAACAGUAAAAAUCGAUAUAAUUUUAACA
rnacentral:pre_miRNA from 1 species